rnacentral:lncRNA from 1 species
GCCACUGCCACGCGGGUGACGCAGGGACGGCCCCCCCCGGGGCGGAGGAACCCCCGGAAGCUGCAGCCCCGCACGCAGCCGGAGGAGCGCAUGAGGCUCAGCCACUGCAUGGCACCCGUCCUGCCACGGCUGCUGGCCAAGUUCUCGGUGGACGUGCAGAAGGUGCUGGCGCUGCUGGAGCUGCUGGGCUGCAUGGAGCUCAGGGUGUUCUGCGCCGCGAGGAUGGAGCGGGUCGGACGGGGAACACGGCCCUACAGGGACCCACAGCCCCAUAGGGACCCCAUGCCCUACAGGGACCCAUAGCCCUAUAGGGACCCCAUUGCCCUAUAGGGACCCAUAACCCCAUAGGGACCCCAUGCCCUUAUAGGGACCCCAUGCCCUUAUAGGGACCCCAUUGCCCUAUAGGGACCCUGUUGCCCUAUAGGGACCCCGUUGCCCUACAGGGACCCCAUGCCCUUAUAGGGACCCCAUUGCCCUAUAGGGACCCCAUGCCCUUAUAGGGACCCCGUUGCCCUACAGGGACCCCAUGCCCUUAUAGGGACCCCAUUGCCCUAUAGGGACCCCAUGCCCUUAUAGGGACCCCGUUGCCCUACAGGGACCCCAUGCCCUUAUAGGGACCCCAUUGCCCUAUAGGGACCCUGUUGCCCUAUAGGGACCCCGUUGCCCUACAGGGACCCCAUGCCCUUAUAGGGACCCCAUUGCCCUACAGGGACCCCAUGCCCUUAUAGGGAGCCCACUGCCCUACAGGGACCCCAUUGCCCUACAGGGACCCCAUGCCCUUAUAGGGACCCUGCAGUCCUAUAGGGACCCCAUCUCCCCAUAGUGUCCCCAUUCCUCUAUAGGUUCGUCAUACCCCAUAGUGCCCCCAUACCCCUAUCAUGUCCCAUACCCCACAGUGACCCCACACACCCAUAGGAUGCCAUACCCCCCAACAGUGACCCCACCCCCAUAGGAUCCCAUAGUCCCCAUAGGGUCCCAUUACCCCCAUAGGAUGCCAUAGGAUCCCAUUCACCACAGUGACCCCACACCCUUAUAGGAUCCCAUACACCCUAUAGGUUCUUAUACCCCCCAUAGAAUCCCAUUACCCUCCAUCGGGUCCCAUUACUCCCUAUAGGAUCCCAUACCCCAUAGGGUCCCAUACCACCCAUAGGGUCCCAUUACCCCAUAGGGCCCCACACCCCAUAGGGUCUCACACCCCAUAGGGUCCCAUUACCCCAUAGGGCCCCACACCCCAUAGGGUCCCACACACCCCCAUAGGAUCCCACACCCCAUAGGGCCCCACACCCCAUAGGGCCCCAUACCC